rnacentral:rRNA from 1 species
CCUACGGGUGGCUGCAGUGGGGAAUAUUGGACAAUGGGCGAAAGCCUGAUACAGCCAUGCCGCGUGUGUGAAGAAGGCCUUCGGGUUGUAAAGCACUUUCAGUGGGGAAGAAAGCCUUGGGGCUAAUACCCUCGAGGAAGGACAUCACCCACAGAAGAAGCACCGGCUAACUCCGUGCCAGCAGCCGCGGUAAUACGGAGGGUGCGAGCGUUAAUCGGAAUUACUGGGCGUAAAGCGCGCGUAGGCGGUCUGAUAAGCCGGUUGUGAAAGCCCCGGGCUCAACCUGGGAACGGCAUCCGGAACUGUCAGGCUAGAGUGCAGGAGAGGAAGGUAGAAUUCCCGGUGUAGCGGUGAAAUGCGUAGAGAUCGGGAGGAAUACCAGUGGCGAAGGCGGCCUUCUGGACUGACACUGACGCUGAGGUGCGAAAGCGUGGGUAGCAAACAGGAUUAGAUACCCGAGUAGUC